rnacentral:rRNA from 1 species
UGGGGAAUAUUGCACAAUGGGCGCAAGCCUGAUGCAGCCAUGCCGCGUGUAUGAAGAAGGCCUUCGGGUUGUAAAGUCCUUUCAGCGGGGAGGAAGGCGAUAAGGUUAAUAACCUUGUCGAUUGACGUUACCCGCAGAAGAAGCACCGGCUAACUCCGUGCCAGCAGCCGCGGUAAUACGGAGGGUGCAAGCGUUAAUCGGAAUUACUGGGCGUAAAGCGCACGCAGGCGGUCUGUCAAGUCGGAUGUGAAAUCCCCGGGCUCAACCUGGGAACUGCAUUCGAAACUGGCAGGCUAGAGUCUUGUAGAGGGGGGUAGAAUUCCAGGUGUAGCGGUGAAAUGCGUAGAGAUCUGGAGGAAUACCGGUGGCGAAGGCGGCCCCCUGGACAAAGACUGACGCUCAGGUGCGAAAGCGUGGGGAGCAAACA